UACGGGGGGGGCAAGCGUUGUUCGGAAUUACUGGGCGUAAAGGGUUCGUAGGUGGCCCGCUAAGUCACACGUGAAAUCCCUCAGCUUAACUGGGGAACUGCGUGUGAGACUGGCAGGCUUGAGUGCAGGAGAGGAACGCGGAAUUCCAGGUGUAGCGGUGAAAUGCGUAGAUAUCUGGAGGAACACCGGUGGCGAAGGCGGCGUUCUGGACUGUAUCUGACACUGAAGAACGAAAGCCAGGGGAGCAAACGGG
rnacentral:rRNA from 1 species